rnacentral:rRNA from 1 species
UUAAAAAGCUCGUAGUUGGAUUUCUGUGAUGGGCAGCCGGCCGGCUCUUCGGAGUUGUAGCUAGGUUUGUUUGUCGCAUCUUGUCGUAAAUCUUACUGGCAUUCAUUUGUUGGUGUAGAGGACCGACUCGUUUACUUUGAGAAAAUUAGAGUGUUCAAAGCGGGCUAUCGCCUUGAAUAUGUUAGCAUGGAAUAAUGAUAUAGGACUUUUGGUCUUAUUUCGUUGGUUGUUCGAGGACCGAAGUAAUGAUUGAUAGGGACGGUUGGGGGCAUCAGUAUUCUGAAGCGAGAGGUGAAAUUCUUGGACCUUCGGAAGACUAACAACUGCGAAAGCAUUUGCCUAGGACGUUCUCUUUAAUCAAGAACGAAAGUUGGGGGAUCGAAGACGAUCAGAUACCGUCGUAGUCUCAACUAUAAACUAUGCCAGCUAGGGAUGAGUGGAUGUUUAAUUUCGACUCCAUUCGCACCUUAUGAGAAAUCAAAGCAUUUGGGUUCCGGGGGGAGUAUGGUCGCAAGGCUGAAACUUAAAGGAAUUGACGGGAGGGCACCACCAGGAGUGGAGCCUGUGGCUUAAUUUGACUCAACACGGGAAAACUUACCAGGUCCGGACAUAGCUAGGAUUGACAGAUUGAUAGCUC